CUACGGGCGGCUGCAGUAGGGAAUCUUCCGCAAUGGGCGAAAGCCUGACGGAGCAACGCCGCGUGAGUGAUGAAGGUCUUCGGAUUGUAAAACUCUGUUAUUAGGGAAGAACAAAUGUGUAAGUAACUAUGCACGUCUUGACGGUACCUAAUCAGAAAGCCACGGCUAACUACGUGCCAGCAGCCGCGGUAAUACGUAGGUGGCAAGCGUUAUCCGGAAUUAUUGGGCGUAAAGCGCGCGUAGGCGGUUUUUUAAGUCUGAUGUGAAAGCCCACGGCUCAACCGUGGAGGGUCAUUGGAAACUGGAAAACUUGAGUGCAGAAGAGGAAAGUGGAAUUCCAUGUGUAGCGGUGAAAUGCGCAGAGAUAUGGAGGAACACCAGUGGCGAAGGCGACUUUCUGGUCUGUAACUGACGCUGAUGUGCGAAAGCGUGGGGAUCAAACAGGAUUAGAUACCCGAGUAGUC
rnacentral:rRNA from 1 species